UUCGCAAUGCCCGAAAGGGUGACGAAGCGACGCCGCGUGUGGGAAGAAGGCCUUCGGGUUGUAAACCACUGUCGGGAGUUAAGAAAUGCAAGGAUAUGAAUAGUGUCUUUGCUUGACUAAGGCUCCGGAGGAAGCCACGGCUAACUCUGUGCCAGCAGCCGCGGUAAUACAGAGGCGGCAAGCGUUGUUCGGAAUUACUGGGCGUAAAGAGCACGUAGGCGGCUAUGUAAGUCGGUUGUGAAAGCCUUCCGCUCAACGGGAGAACAGCAUCCGAUACUACAUGGCUUGAGUGCGGGAGGGGAGAGUGGAACUUCUGGUGGAGCGGUGAAAUGCGUAGAUAUCAGAAGGAACGCCGGCGGCGAAAGCGGCUCUCUGGCCCAUAACUGACGCUGAGUGUGCGAAAGCUAGGGGAGCAAACGGGAUUAGAUGCCCCGGUAGUCCUAGCCGUAAACGAUGGGCACUAAGUAGAGGGGUUUU
rnacentral:rRNA from 1 species